rnacentral:rRNA from 1 species
GAGAGUUAAACAGUACGUGAAAUUGUUGAAAGGGAAACGAUUGAAGUCAGUCAUACCAACGGGAAAUCAACCUCUUGAGUUUGGUCUCGUGGGUUUCGAAGAGUUUUAAAAGCCUUCGGAUUUUCGAGAUUGGGCUCUUCUGGUGUACUUUCUCGUACAGUUAGUCAACAUCGCUUUUGAAUGUCAUAAAAUGACUGGAGGAAUGUGGCUUCGAUCUCGUAUUGAAGUGUUAUAGCCUUUGGUAGAUGUGAUGUUCGAGACCGAGGAUUGCAACGGAUACCCUUCUGGGCUAUUCGUCUGAUCUCUGAAACGUUGCCUUGAUGUCGAAAGCUUGCUUAUGAUGUUAAGGGUAUUACGGUCAAAAGGUUAGAACGGAUUAAAUUCGUUAAGGAUGUUGACGUAAUGACUUUAAACGA